AACUCCUUUCUUUUCUUGUGAUAUGUAAUGAUGAAAUUUUUAAUUUUCAAGACUACAAAUUUAAAUGUUAUAUUUGAGUGUAAAUUAGGUGGAUCAAUCCCCCUCCUUCGUUUCAUUGCUUAGAUAUUUAUUGAAAAAGAAAAAGAAGCAAUUGAAGCAAAAUGUAGCAAUUUUAUUUUACCAUGCUGCAUAUCAUCGCCUGUAAUUACAUCAUCAUUGAAGAGUUG
rnacentral:misc_RNA from 1 species